CCUCUGUAUUCCCAGGACUGUCCAGAGGAGAAGCUCCCAGAGAACCAUCAGGAUGAAAAUCUGAUGGAUAUUAAGAUUGAGGUUAAAGAUGAAGAAGAAGAGGAGACGGAUUUAUGGGGCGAUCAGCAGGAUGGACUCAUAGAAGGAAAUCCCCCCGAGAGAUGUCCCCGUCCACUGUA